GACGAACGCUGGCGGCGUGCUUAACACAUGCAAGUCGAACGGAAAGGCCCUGCUUUUGUGGGGUGCUCGAGUGGCGAACGGGUGAGUAACACGUGAGUAACCUGCCCUUGACUUUGGGAUAACUUCAGGAAACUGGGGCUAAUACCGGAUAGGAGCUCCUGCUUCAUGGUGGGGGUUGGAAAGGUUCGGCGGUUGGGGAUGGACUCGCGGCUUAUCAGCUUGUUGGUGGGGUAGUGGCUUACCAAGGCUUUGACGGGUAGCCGGCCUGAGAGGGUGACCGGCCACAUUGGGACUGCGAUACGGCCCAGACGCCUACGGGAGGGAGCAGUGGGGAAUAGUGCACAAUGGGCGGAAGCCGGAUGCAGCAACGCCGCGUGCGGGAUGACGGCCUUCGGGUUGUAAACCGCUUUCGCCUGUGACGAAGCGUGAGUGACGGUAAUGGGUAAAGAAGCACCGGCUAACUACGUG
rnacentral:rRNA from 1 species